rnacentral:lncRNA from 1 species
CUAUCAUUAGUUUGCACCAAAUCCUUGGCAAUAGGUAUUACUCUACACUUCUCGACUUUUACAUAUAUAAAUUAAUACACUUAUGUAUGUAUAUACAUCAUACGUUCAUACAAUAAUCAUCACAAGAAACAUGUCUUGGUCCACUAUAACAUAAAAGUUAUAUAUACAGUGAUCGAGUCUUUGAAAAUUUUAUAUUAACGUUUUCUUUUGGUAUCUUCUCUAGAUGGUCAGCAAUCGCAGCAAAAUUGCCUGGAAGAACGGAUAAUGAGAUCAAGAACGUAUGGCACACUCACUUGAAGAAAAGGCUGGAAGAUAAUCAACCCGCUAAACCUAAGACCAGCAACAAGAAAAAGAGUACUAAACCCAAAUCUCAGUCUGUACCAGCAAAAUCAAAGAGUACUAAAACCGAAUCGGAGCUCGCAAGCUCAUCGAACCCUUCUUUUGAAAGUUUGUUAUCCUUGGCAAUAGGUAUUACUCUACACUUCUCGACUUUUACAUAUAUAAAUUAAUACACUUAUGUAUGUAUAUACAUCAUACGUUCAUACAAUAAUCAUCACAAGAAACAUGUCUUGGUCCACUAUAACAUAAAAGUUAUAUAUACAGUGAUCGAGUCUUUGAAAAUUUUAUAUUAACGUUUUCUUUUGGUAUCUUCUCUAGAUGGUCAGCAAUCGCAGCAAAAUUGCCUGGAAGAACGGAUAAUGAGAUCAAGAACGUAUGGCACACUCACUUGAAGAAAAGACUGGAAGAUUAUCAACCCACUAAACCUAAGACCAGCAACAAGAAAAAGAGUACUAAACCCAAAUCUCAGUCUGUACCAGCAAAAUCAAAGAGUACUAAAACCGAAUCGGAGCUCGCAAGCUCAUCGAACCCUUCUUUUGAAAGUUUGUUCUCAGCAUCACCUUCGGCGA